rnacentral:rRNA from 1 species
AUUGAACGCUGGCGGCAGGCUUAACACAUGCAAGUCGAGCGGUAACAGAGAGAAGCUUGCUUCUCUGCUGACGAGCGGCGGACGGGUGAGUAAUGCCUAGGAAUCUGCCUAGUAGUGGGGGAGAACUUGCCGAAAGGUAAGCUAAUACCGCAUACGUCUUACGGGAGAAAGGAGGGGACCUUCGGGCCUUUCGCUAUUAGAUGAGCCUAGGUCGGAUUAGUUAGUUGGUGAGGUAAUGGCUCACCAAGACCGCGAUCCGUAACUGGUCUGAGAGGAUGAUCAGUCAAACUGGAACUGAGACACGGUCCAGACUCCUACGGGAGGCAGCAGUGGGGAAUAUUGGACAAUGGGGGGAACCCUGAUCCAGCCAUGCCGCGUGUGUGAAGAAGGUCUUAGGAUUGUAAAGCACUUUAAGCUGGGAGGAAGAGCAGUUAACUAAUAUUUGACUGUUUUGACGUUACCGACAGAAUAAGCACCGGCUAACUUCGUGCCAGCAGCCGCCGUAA